rnacentral:rRNA from 1 species
GUUCGGAUUAGUAGUUGGUGGGGUAACGGCNUACCAAGGCGACGAUCGGUAGCCGGCCUGAGAGGGCGGACGGCCACACUGGGACUGAGACACGGCCCAGACUCCUACGGGAGGCAGCAGUGGGGAAUAUUGCGCAAUGGGCGAAAGCCUGACGCAGCGACGCCGCGUGUGGGAUGACGGCCUUCGGGUUGUAAACCACUGUCGGGAGGGACGAAUGCGCCGCAAGGCGAGUGACGGUACCUCCAAAGGAAGCACCGGCUA